AGCUGUCCGGUCUAAUUGAGGACUGGGUGGCCAAGCGAAAGUGAUAAGUAACCCACCCGGGGAGUACGUUCGCAAGAAUGAAACUCAAAGGAAUUGACGGGGGCCCGCACAAGCGGUGGAGCAUGUGGUUUAAUUCGAUGAUACGCGAGGAACCUUACCAGGGCUUAAAUGUAGUCUGACAGAUUUGGAAACAGAUUUUUCUUCGGACAGAUUACAAGGUGCUGCAUGGUUGUCGUCAGCUCGUGCCGUGAGGUGUCAGGUUAAGUCCUAUAACGAGCGCAACCCCUGUGGUUAGUUGCCAGCGAGUCAAAUCGGGAACUCUAGCCAGACUGCCGGUGCAAACCGUGAGGAAGGUGGGGAUGACGUCAAAUCAUCACGGCCCUUACGUCCUGGGCCACACACGUGCUACAAUGGUAGGUACAGAGAGCAGCCACGUCGCAAGGCGGAGCGAAUCUAUAAAACCUAUCACAGUUCGGAUCGGGGUCUGCAACUCGACCCCGUGAAGCUGGAAUCGCUAGUAAUCGCAUAUCAGCCAUGAUGCGGUGAAUACGUUCCCGGGCCUUGUACACACCGCCCGUCAAGCCAUGGAAGCUGGGGGUACCUGAAGUCCGUCACCGCAAGGAGCGGCCUAGGGUAAGACCGGUAACUGGGGCUAAGUCGUAACAAGGUAGCCGUACCGGAAGGUGCGGCUGGAACACCUCCUUUCU
rnacentral:rRNA from 1 species